UUUUGAUCGAAAAAAUAAAAAAAAUAAAAAUUUAAUUAAUUAAGCAGUGUAAGUCCCGUACGAUUCAUCUGCGUCUAUAAUAUAAUUGAUACUUCAAUAGUGCUGGUUAUGUGCUUUUUGUUGUGAUUGUGUUUUUUGUCAGUGCGCGCGGAAUUUUGACUGUUUAAUCGUUUGGUUAUUAUAUAUUUGUUUAUAAAUUUUUUCUUUCGUCAAAAUUUUUUGAUUUUGGUAUUCCGUUUCCUCGUCUGACUUCGUUAACAACAUCAAAACUCCGGCUCGCAAGACGUUUCCGAACGAAUGGUUAUACUUUUCCACCGCUCCCUGAUCCGCUGGCAGUCGAGGAACGGAAUUUCGCAGUAAAAUCGGAUUAUCUCCUCCGGAUCGCUGUCAAAUUUGAACAAGGAGUUACAAAUCGAGACUCGGUGGGUCGGUCGGACGCAUGGUGUUGCGGUGAAUUUCAAGAGCAAAGUGUACCCUAGAGCCAGUAAUUCGUUGGAAAUAGAUGA
rnacentral:misc_RNA from 1 species